AUAUGAGGAUCUCUAUAACAAUUUCAGCACAAAAGAAGGGGAAUAAUAUAUCUAUAAACUACAGCUAAAAUGAGGGAAAGGAAGAGUAGAUUUUUUCAACCAUAUUAGAUGCAUUAAAAUGAAGGUGAUAAAGUAUUAAUUAAUGAUGAGGAUAUUAAAGAGAGAUGGAAAAACUAUUUCUACAACUUACUAAAGGAAAACAAUACAAGUAAUAGUGUUUUAGAAGGUUGUAAUAACCAUAAAGAAAUCACAAGUCUUAGAUAUAUACAAAAAAUUAGGGUGUCUGAAGUUAAAAAAAAUCUUUAAAGAAGAUGAAAAUAGGUAAAGCAAUAGGCCUAGAUGGUAUUCCAAUAGAGGUGUGGAAUAGUUUAGGAAUCAAUGGAAUAUCUUUGCUAGCUAAGUUGUUUAAUAAGAUUAUGAGCACAA